rnacentral:lncRNA from 1 species
AUGACAACGCAAACACCACCAACAGUUGAAGAACUCACCGAAAGUGACAGUGAAGAACAACUUUCAGCGACAAUGACAAGAAGGAGAAAAGUAAAAACAGCUGUUUACUCUGGAGAUGAAAGUGAUGACACAAAUGAAGGAGAUUUCAAAAUUACAAUUCAACCAUCACCAACAGUUGAAGAACUCACCGAAAGUGACAGUGAAGAACAACUUUCAGCGACAAUGACAAGAAGGAGAAAAGUAAAAACAGCUGUUGACUCUGGAGAAGAAAGUGAUGACACAAAUGAAGGAGAUUUCAAAAUUACAAUUCAACCAUCACCAACAGUUGAAGAACUCACCGAAAGUGACAGUGAAGAACAACUUUCAGCGACAAUGACAAGAAGGAGAAAAGUAAAAACAGCUGUUGACUCUGGAGAAGAAAGUGAUGACACAAAUGAAGGAGAUUUCAAAAUUACGAUUCAACCAUCACCAACAGUUGAAGAACUCACCGAAAGUGACAGUGAAGAACAACUUUCAGCGACAAUGACAAGAAGGAGAAAAGUAAAAACAGCUGUUUACUCUGGAGAAGAAAGUGAUGACACAAAUGAAGGAGAUUUCAAAAUUACAAAUCAACCAUCACCAACAGUUCAAGAACUCACAGAAAGUGACAAUGAAGAAGAACAAAUUUCGGAGACAAAGGGAGAAGAGCACACAAAAAAAAAUGAUAAAGAGGACACGUACAGGACGUGCGUAGUCGGUCCAAAAGAAUUCAAAUUUAAGGUCGCAAGAAAAAAUUGGAUAAAAAUAAAGCCGGAAAAGGGAAAAAGACAACUGAGACCCCCAUGGACCGAUAUAUUCUACAAUGAAUUUAGAAAAAGCAACCCAUCGUGCACAUUGGCCUUUAAGUACCAAAAUAUUAGAACACGUGACAGCCGGAAAAAAAAAUCACCAUACCUCCGCGCCACAGCCAAGUGCACGUUUGAAGGUUGUGAGGCGGUUUACACUUUCACCAGGAAAGGCCCACCAAAAUACAACGCAAAAAAGAUUACUGUCAUGGUGACACGGUUUGGGGAAGUCAAACACCUUAAGUCUCAGAGAAAAUGUAGGCCUGCAAGAUACCUCAGGAGAGGAAAAAUAGCAAAAGCAGUAAAAAGUGGUGUGAGCAACUGCUAUUACGAAUUGCUGAAAAACACACCUGUGGAGGAGAUCAUGGCUGGUAACAUAACCAGAAGCCUCACAAAAGACGUGUUAAAAAUCAUAUCUUACGAGAUCAGAAGCGUUGCAAGGCUUCACAAUGACCAAUUGUUGGAGCUAAUGCUCACUCAGAGGAUUAUCAGAGAGAGUGGUCGGCAAACUCGGCAUGCAUCAUCGAACGGCUAUCUGCAGCUCCUCCAGAUUGACCCUUUUGCAACCCACUUAUACACUGAUGCGGGCCUGCAAAUUUUGGCUGAACAUUUGAGAGGACCCAUGCCCACUACCCUAUACCUCGAUGCAACAGGUGGGGUAGUUCAGAAAGUACCCCAUCAGUCAAAAAGAGUUCUCUAUUAUGCCCUGGUUCUGCCUGGAAUGGGCAAGGACAAGCCGCCUUUGCCAGUCGCGGAGUUCGUGACUAACAGCCAUAGUGUUCCAUCAAUAUCGCACUGGCUUAUGGAGUUCAAUAGGAGGCUGUCCCACAUUACCGGGAGAAAAAUUGCACAAAUAGAGACAGAUUACAGCUGGGCGUUGAUGAACAGUGUGCUCAUCUCUUUUAACCACGAGGAUGUCUCUGCAUACCUUUGCAGAGCAUUCGAAAUUGUGUCGGGACAACUCAAAGUCAUUCCAAAAUUCACUGUGCUCCAUUUGUGCUCUGCACAUAUACUUAAGGCAGUCUCCCAGGCCUUUGGGAGAACAACCAGUGACAGAGGCAUAAAGGAGUAUGCAACAUACAGUUUUGCAUACCUGCUGAACUGUACAAGCUUGCCAGAAGCACUUGAGGUUUUCUACCACAUGUGUGUGCUGUUUGAUGCAGAACAGCACACAGACUCAAUCAAUACCAGUGAAAGGUACCUGAAUGGCUGCAUUUUGCAGAGUCAACACAUGGAUAUUGAGGAAACACAAGAGGGGAGCAGGAUCUGUGAUUCCAGUGACCCUUCCAAUGGCAUUCUCGCAAGGUCCCCCUUCAUGCAGGCUUUUGACCUAAGAAGGGAGCAAGCCACAUGUGACGUCCUGUCUGAUGAGGAAGCAGACAAAAACAACAACUACCACUGCCCAGGUAUAAUAAAUGUCUUGCUUAAGACAUACAUGGGCAUCUUUCCCUUGUGGAGUGGUGUACUACUCGCUGAUCUAUCGAGGCACUCUAAAGGAUCUAUCACAAGAGGAACAGGGUGCAAAACACGGGAAACCAACUGCCAUGUCGAACUAUGGUUUAGGUUGGUGAAACACAGCAUUCUGUGCAAAAGAAAAUACCUCAGACCUGCAGAGUUUGUCUCUAAAAUGUUUGCCUCAGUGCAGGGGAGGUAUGUUGAACAUGUGAUUCAACAAAGCCUGCCAAUUGAUGUACUUCAGAGAAACCUUCAAAGCUCUGUUAAGCUGGAAGAUGACCCAGAAGAGCAAUGGUGUAAGAGGGACACCUCUUCUGGCAGUUCAAAGCGCAAGUCAAAAUAUUUCAAUCCUCCAAAAAACAUUCCAAACCCCAAGACCAAGACCAAAAGCAAGAAGAUCAUAAAAGUGGAGCAGAAUCAACGGGUUGAAGAUGCACAAGUAAGUAAUGUGACGUUUUUUUAA